CGUAAAGAGCUCGUAGGUGGUUUGUCGCGUUGUUCGUGAAAUCUCACGGCUUAACUGUGAGCGUGCGGGCGAUACGGGCAGACUUGAGUACUGCAGGGGAGACUGGAAUUCCUGGUGUAGCGGUGGAAUGCGCAGAUAUCAGGAGGAACACCGGUGGCGAAGGCGGGUCUCUGGGCAGUAACUGACGCUGAGGAGCGAAAGCGUGGGGAGCGAACAGGAUUAGAUACCCUGGUAGUCCACGCCGUAAACGGUGGGUACUAGGUGUGGGUUUCCUUCCUUGGGAUCCGUGCCGUAGCUAACGCAUUAAGUACCCCGCCUGGGGAGUACGGCCGCAAGGCUAAAACUCAAAGAAAUUGACGGGGGCCCGCACAAGCGGCGGAGCAUGUGGAUUAAUUCGAUGCAACGCGAAGAACCUUACCUGGGUUUGACAUGCACAGGACGCCGGCAGAGAUGUCGGUUCCCUUGUGGCCUGUGUGCAGGUGGUGCAUGGCUGUCGUCAGCUCGUGUCGUGAGAUGUUGGGUUAAGUCCCGCAACGAGCGCAACCCUUGUCUCAUGUUGCCAGCGGGUAAUGCCGGGGACUCGUGAGAGACUGCCGGGGUCAACUCGGAGGAAGGUGGGGAUGACGUCAAGUCAUCAUGCCCCUUAUGUCCAGGGCUUCACACAUGCUACAAUGGCCGGUACAAAGGGCUGCGAUGCCGCGAGGUUAAGCGAAUCCUUUUAAAGCCGGUCUCAGUUCGGAUCGGGGUCUGCAACUCGACCCCGUGAAGUCGGAGUCGCUAGUAAUCGCAGAUCAGC
rnacentral:rRNA from 1 species